rnacentral:misc_RNA from 1 species
CAUUGGAACUCCACCCUCAAGCGAAAAUGUUCUUCCUUCACUGACGACUUAAGCGACGAUGCAGACGCCCGACAACCUCUCAAAAGAUCCGCCAGCGUUGGAGCGGGCACGAACAUCUCUGGUCCGGUUUCGAGUCUUCAUUUGAACCCUAGCAGUCCUUCCGGAUCCGAUGUCAGUGAUUCCAGCUUGCCCGGCAUGUCAUCUUCUCCAGUUUACAGGCCCCUGUUGAAAACGGGUUCACUUGUCCCACCAGUUCUUUCAAUCGAUGCUGCCUCAUCCAC